rnacentral:rRNA from 1 species
CAGGCUUAACACAUGCAAGUCGAGGGGCAGCAUGGUCUUAGCUUGCUAAGACUGAUGGCGACCGGCGCACGGGUGAGUAACACGUAUCCAACCUGCCGUCUACUCUUGGACAGCCUUCUGAAAGGAAGAUUAAUACAAGAUGGCAUCAUGAGUCCGCAUGUUCACAUGAUUAAAGGUAUUCCGGUAGACGAUGGGGAUGCGUUCCAUUAGAUAGUAGGCGGGGUAACGGCCCACCUAGUCUUCGAUGGAUAGGGGUUCUGAGAGGAAGGUCCCCCACAUUGGAACCGAGACACGGUCCAAACUCCUACGGGAGGCAGCAGUGAGGAAUAUUGGUCAAUGGGCGAGAGCCUGAACCAGCCAAGUAGCGUGAAGGAUGACUGCCCUAUGGGUUGUAAACUUCUUUUAUAAAGGAAUAAAGUCGGGUAUGCAUACCCGUUUGCAUGUACUUUAUGAAUAAGGAUCGGCUAACUCCGUGCCAGCAGCCGCGGUAAUACGGAGGAUCCGAGCGUUAUCCGGAUUUAUUGGGUUUAAAGGGAGCGUAGAUGGAUGUUUAAGUCAGUUGUGAAAGUUUGCGGCUCAACCGUAAAAUUGCAGUUGAUACUGGAUAUCUUGAGUGCAGUUGAGGCAGGCGGAAUUCGUGGUGUAGCGGUGAAAUGCUUAGAUAUCACGAAGAACUCCGAUUGCGAAGGCAGCCUGCUAAGCUGCAACUGACAUUGAGGCUCGAAAGUGUGGGUAUCAAACAGGAUUAGAUACCCUGGUAGUCCACACGGUAAACGAUGAAUACUCGCUGUUUGCGAUAUACAGCAAGCGGCCAAGCGAAAGCGUUAAGUAUUCCACCUGGGGAGUACGCCGGCAACGGUGAAACUCAAAGGAAUUGACGGGGGCCCGCACAAGCGGAGGAACAUGUGGUUUAAUUCGAUGAUACGCGAGGAACCUUACCCGGGCUUAAAUUGCAGAUGAAUUACGGUGAAAGCCGUAAGCCGCAAGGCAUCUGUGAAGGUGCUGCAUGGUUGUCGUCAGCUCGUGCCGUGGGGUGUCGGCUUAAGUGCCAUAACGAGCGCAACCCUUGUUGUCAGUUACUAACAGGUUCCGCUGAGGACUCUGACAAGACUGCCAUCGUAAGAUGUGAGGAAGGUGGGGAUGACGUCAAAUCAGCACGGCCCUUACGUCCGGGGCUACACACGUGUUACAAUGGGGGGUACAGAGGGCCGCUACCACGCGAGUGGAUGCCAAUCCCCAAAACCUCUCUCAGUUCGGACUGGAGUCUGCAACCCGACUCCACGAAGCUGGAUUCGCUAGUAAUCGCGCAUCAGCCACGGCGCGGUGAAUACGUUCCCGGGCCUUGUACACACCGCCCGUCAAGCCAUGGGAGCCGGGGGUACCUGAAGUGCGUAACCGCGAGGAGCGCCCUAGGGUAAAACUGGUGACUGGGGC